rnacentral:rRNA from 1 species
AGAAUCAACGCUGGCGGCGUGCCUAACACAUGCAAGUCGAACGAGAAAGUGGAGCAAUCCAUGAGUAAAGUGGCGACCGGGUGAGUAACACGUGACUAACCUACCCUAGAGUGGGGAAUAACUUCGGGAAAACCGAGGCUAAUACCGCAUAACAUCGCAGAGGGAAGCUCUUUGCGAUCAAAGGAGUAAUUCGCUCAAGGAGGGGGUCGCGGCUGAUUAGCUAGUUGGUGAGGUAACGGCCCACCAAGGCUAAGAUCAGUAUCCGGCCUGAGAGGGCGCACGGACACACUGGAACUGAAACACGGUCCAGACUCCUACGGGAGGCAGCAGUGGGGAAUUUUGCGCAAUGGGGGAAACCCUGACGCAGCAACGCCGCGUGGAGGAUGAAGUCCCUUGGGAUGUAAACUCCUUUCGAUCGGGACGAUUAUGACGGUACCGGAAGAAGAAGCACCGGCUAACUCUGUGCCAGCAGCCGC